GGGCGGGCGGGAGGCCGGGCUGCGGCGGCCCUCAGACGCAUCGGCCGGCACCCGGCGGGCUCGCGGCCGCCUUUCGCUUACAGGGCUCGCCGACCUCGUUGAGCAGCGGUCGCCGGGUGAGGACGGGCGCCUUCGGCCCGUGUCUGGCAGUGCCCCGGCCCCGGCGACACAGACCGACGGGCUGCACCCACUAACUAGCAUGCUGACCUGAUGGCUAGUUAGUGGGGAGAAGAUAAAGGGACAGAGCCCCAUUCCAAGCUCACCUUUCUUUAAAGGACACCUUCCAGAAGUUGCAAAUAGACGUUCACUCACAUCCCAUGAAAAGGUGGGAAUCUCAACUUUUUUUUUCCCAGGUAGAUACAUUUCCAGCUAAAAGAAAGGGGGGAAAGUCCAGCAGUUUCUGCUGAUAAUGCUAUGUAGAUAGCUAUAGUGCAAGGCUUGUUGCUACAAGCACUUAUGUGUUUUCUUUUUUUCUUUUUCUUUCUUUCACUGCCCAUGGCAUGUGGAAGUUCCCAGGCCAGGGAUCGAACCCAAGCUGCUGCGGUGACGGCACUAGAUCCUUAACCUGCUGGGCCACGAAGGAAUUCCUAAGCACUGAUUUCUUCAUCUCGGAAAGACAAUGUGGUCUGGUUCUGGGCAUGUUGAGUAUGAGGUGACUCCAUGACAUCUGGUCGGGCACAUCACACAGUUACCUGGAAACUGCAUCUGGACCAGGGAUGUAGGGACGGAAGGACGGGAACCUUGGAGUCUGCUGCAGAGGUGAGAGCAGCGCGAGAGGCCAGGGAGGGUAAGACAGGCAUGUCAGACAGCGUAGAGGAGGGAGAUAGGAGGGCAGGCAUCCUGGGAGACCUGUGAGCGGCGGGCAGAGUAAGAAAAUCAGUGAAGGGCAAAGACUGGAGAGGAGAAGCAGCAGGUUUGUGUUCCUGCAGGAGCCAAGGGAAGCUUGGCUUCAGGAAGGAGAGGUCAAUAGUGUCGAAUCACAAUUCCCGGCCGGAAGUGAUGAAGACAGAGAAAGCUAUUGAGAACAGCAGCUGGCUGCAGACAGGUGAGGUCACCAGGGGCAGCCUUUGUCAGGUGGCCUUGGCUGGUUGGGUGAAUUAGGAGGCAGGGUGAUGUGCCGGGGACCGGAGUGGGGGCUGGGGGAGAAUGGAAGUGCUCUGUCUCUCCCGUGAGCUCCUGGGGUGCAGGGGCCAUGUCUCCUUCACUGGUAUACCGUGGUGCCUAAAUAAUGCACGGGACUUGAUUUUCUGACGGCUGGGUGAAUGACCUGCAGAAUGAAUAAAUGAAUUUGGUGGGAAGUAAUGAGAAUGGAAUUGAAAAAUGGUGGUGCAGCAGCGAAAGCCCAGCCGGGAGUCCAUAGCUUCAUGGUACUUCCCAGGCCAGUAAUCUGAACAGAGAAGGAAAAGUAGCUGUUUCCUUGGCUGAGAUUGGCAGGUGAGAGAAACGGGGAGGGGGUGGGGGGGUAUGGUAAGAACAAAGAACCAGGAGACUAGAGGAACAGACCAAGACUUUUUGAAACAUCUGACCAGUGGAUCCUGAUGGGGGUGGAGGGUGGGGGGAAUGAGAGGAGCAGAAGUGCCUGAGAGGAUGAGUUAGUUUAUGGUCUUGGGAGGUGGGGCCCAGGCUUCAGUACUUCUGGAGUCAACUCAAGUCACUUCAAAGAACAGCCAAGGUUGGGUUGGAGGGGGCUGGAGGGAAGACUAAUGGGGUGGCAGGCUGGGGCUGUCAGAGUUCAGAAUCUUGACCCUCGAGCAGCUCCAGGUCAUGAGGCUAAUUUCAUGAUGGUGAUUGAGGUGGAGUGGAAGUAAGAGUAACUGGAAUUGAUGAGAUUGAGCUUCAGGAACUGUAGGCUCAUCGGAUUCAAAUGCCUUUGGCUACAUCAGGAGAGAUUUUGCACUAAAGGAAAAACCAAGAGUCAACCAGAAAGGGCUCUGGUCAGGUACGACAUGUAAGAAGGGCCUAAGUCUCGAUUCAUCCAGCAGUCACUAAGGCACGAGGCCAGUUGUUUAGUAUCUGUCAUCUCACUUGUUCUGAUGUCCACUCUCCUGGCAGGUGAGGACAGCUGACAGCUGAAGUCGGGUCAAAUGGCAGAUUUGGCUGGAAGGGCCGAUGUUCAGAUAAAUCAGCCAAAGUUUUGACGAGCUUCACAUUAAGCUAUGACUUGUUCUUCUGCCAACCCAUUGUCCCAUAGCCAGCCAUCCUGGUGCGUGUGUGCACGUAUAUAUUUAUAAUGUGUAUAAUCGUAGCCUACACUUAAGGGCAAAAGUAAGUAUUCUUUUAAUACCGUAAGAGAAAAGUUUUAGUUAACGGCAGUGUGCCUUCUUUUUGUUCUUGUUUCCCGACGUUAUUCUUCUGAACUGCCUGGAGUUCUGGGGGCAGAGGAGCAGGUUUGAGAGGGAGGGACGGAACAGAAUUUCACAUAAAUUUCGUUUCCUGUAGAUGACGGUGUGCAUUUAUCUCUUAGGUUUGACAAGGCUGAGGAGUUGCCUGGUGGCACAGUGAGUUAAAGUCGUUUGCAGUGCUCCUCAGUGCAGGUGAGAGCGGAAAUGAUUAUGGUAAUGGGACUAAAUCGAACCACUGUUUUCAUACCCACAUUUCGUUUUCUUCCCUUAAUGAAGAAGGCCUCAGAACGUCAGUGUGUUGCGUGGGGUUUCAGGUCAGGAUUCUGGUGCCUGAACCCUACCGGUUCCUGCUUUGUGGUCCUUCCCAGGAGGCUGUAACCACAAGGAGGAUGAGCCCGCGGAAAAGAGAGCAGCGCCCACGUGCUUGAAGAGCAUCCUGGCUGUGCCUUCUCAGGUCAGCGGCGCUUGAACGACUUAGGUUCUGUCAUGCCAUCCCCUCCCUUUCGCAGAGAAAGCCUGGCCCAGGAACCUCAGCUGGAAGAGCGGAGGACGGGCCUGCUCCAGUGGGGCAGGAGUAACGAAGGGCUCAGGGUUUCGGACCUGUUCACACGGCAGCCCUGUUCAUUUGUGAAAAUACAGCCCAGUAAAUAUCUUGGGCUCCCUUCCAUCUGGUUAGUAACCCUUCUCCUUUAGGAGGGGUGCCGGGGAAGGAGGGGUGAGGAGGAAGGCGGCAGGUGGGGUAAGAACGGCGUGGUGCCACACAGUGGGGGGGGGCACGUUGUGGUUCUAUGGCCAUUUCUGUGCUGUGCUACCUUUAAACUGCAUAAAUUUUAAUUGUCAUACUUCAAAAAAAAAAAAAUUUACAAGGUGUCAGGCAUGUUGAAGGCACAUCUUGGGCUUUCCAGAUCUGCCAGCUGAGCACUGAGUGACCUCAUGUGCUGCCAGGUAGAGGCCAAGGCACCCAGCCAAGCCCUGACCUGCCGACAGGAGGGCAGGUAAUAGACAGUGGUUGUCCUGGAGCACUGUCUUGGGGCAGCUUGCUAUGCAGUCAUAACUGGGAGGAACCAAUACCACCCACCCCUGAACCUGAAACAGUCUUGCCUUCCUCAGUGUUCAGUAUUUAUCGAUAACCUUUUCUGUUUCAGAACCUUCUCCAAUUUUUAAGUUCACAUUUCAUAGUUUGAGACAUUCCAUAUCUUGGCUAAAACACUAACCUGCUCAGAAAAGUUAAUUACAGGUCAUUCUGUUGAUCCUGCUUCUGGGAAGCACUUUAAAACUGUGUAACAGUGAGAAGACCUGAAUUUUACAUUUCAGUCAGGUGCCUGGGUACAUCAGCGUCAGUCCUAACUGAACACUUUUAGUAAAAUGCAGGUGGUGAUGGUGACCAGGAGUUGUCACUGCUUGAGACUGAACCGAAUGAGCACCUGCGUGUAUUUCAGAAACAGCAUUGAAACUUUAUGAUUGUUCUCUUGUAAUUUGCUGUUUCUAAGUGGAACCCCUUGAAUCUGUCGCAGUUGCUCAAAGCUUUCUUUAGUAUGUCUUUACAGGCUUUCCUCCAUUUUUUCCUUUUAAAACCCUUUUAUCCUCUGGACAGUCAAGCACGGCCUACAGUCUGACGGCCUUGUCCCAAGGACCCAUGGUCCCCAUGAGACAUUUCUGCAGGUCUUGAUAGGUAUAACCGAGUUUCUCUAAGCACUUGGUUUGUUUUUAACUUAGGGCAGAGCACUGAACACAGAGCUGAUUUUUGUGUUAGAUGCUAGGAAGCUCAGGGCCUGCCUUUUAUUAACUGUUAGUUUUCUCUUUUCUUCCAUCUUCAUUUUCCUUUCCUUAAUCUCCUCACUUAAGAAGAAAAACAAAAAAAACCAAACUAGCUUUGUAGGUUUUUGUUUUGUUUUGUUUUUUCCGGUAAGCUGUCUUAAAAGCAUUUUGGAAAUCCUUCAGUAUCUUAAGAUAUUCUGAAGGCCCUUAUUUCAUUAGCAUACUGUAUCAGCACUUUGUUAUAGUACUUUUCAGUUGAGAAGUCAAGGUACUUCUGAUAGCUAUUAAGCCUUAAAACAGUCCCAGUAAGUGAUCUGAGGUUAGUGACAAAAGCCAAAGUCACUAAACCUGUUUCUCAACAGUUGCUUUACUGUAAAAAAAAAAAAAAAAAGACAAAUAAUUCAUUAUUCAAAUGGACAUUUUUUGUGGGAGGCCGGGAGCACUAGGAGACUGCCUUCUGACCUUACUAUAACUACACUGAUGCCAUACUUCGUUUUGAAGAUUUAAGAUCAUUUGUGAAGAUCACAUUUGCGAUGAAGCUAUACAUCAUACUGGUUUUAACUCCUUACAGUAACCUGUGUGUGUCUUUCAGGCCUGCACUCACGGCAUAUGGAAGCUCCCAGGCUAGGGGCUGAAUCAGAGCAGUAGCUGCCAGCCUACCCACAGCCACAGCCACUAGUGGAUCCUUACCCCACUGAGCAAGACCAGGGAUUGAACCCACAUCCUCAUGGAUACUAGUCAGAUUCAUUACUGCUGAGCCAGAAUGGGAACCCUAAUUCCUUACAGGAAAUUUUGUUAAGAGGUGACUUGAAAUGAUUUUUAGUUGAAGCGUUUAUUUCACUGAAUAAGGCAAGUAUUUUACAUUUGUUAAUAACUCUUUCAAAUUAUUUAAGUGGCUUACAAAAAUAUAUAUAAAAUCAAAAUCUACAAUGGAUACAAAAAAGAAUGUGUUAAAAUGUAAUUAACAGAGUCGACCACUGAACACAGGUUAGAAUGGGCAGGUCCAUGUAUUCAGACUUUUUCGAUGAAUCCACACUAAAGAGCUGCCUGGUCCACAGGCAGCUGGUUGAAUCCGCAAAUGCAGGCCAUGGAUACUCAGGGCCUGCUGUCCAGUACCCCGUGUUGGUCAAGGGCCAACCGUACUCAAGACACAGACUGUGAGCAGGCUUAGCAGGAGCUGGAUUCACACCGAGGUUCUAUGUCCUCGUCACUGCUCUCCAUUCAGAAAGCUCUAAUCUGCUCUUGUGGGAAAGAUCGGGACGUAAGUGCAGUUUUGAAAUACCAAAUAAUUCACCGUAUUCUGGCAGUUGUGAGUCAGGAACCAGGACGAAAGUUUUAACUGGUCAAAAGCUGACCCACGCAUUGAGUCUGAGAAAAACUGGGCAAGUCCUCAACUGCACAAAGCACCACCCUAAUGGAAGGACAACUGAACCGUGAGAGUUUUAUAGUAGCGUGAGCCAAACAAAUGCUCCAACAAUGGCUCCUUCUGGAAGAAUGUGUAAAAGGUAAAUUAACUAUUACUUCUCCUUGUUUUGAUAUUUAAUUCCCCCAGAGCAGAUCCUUACUUUACCCAGAGGGCAAAGCUUAAUAUUCUUGGGAUAAAAAGCUUUUCCACGAAAGAGCACAGAUAUGGAUGCUUCCCCAAGUCCAGCCAGGAAUGUCAUUGUUACUUUUUACUAGGCUGCUUAUGAUCCCAAGCACUAAACACAAAC